UACGGGGGGGGCAAGCGUUGUUCGGAAUUACUGGGCGUAAAGGGCUCGUAGGCGGCCAACUAAGUCAGACGUGAAAUCCCUCGGCUUAACCGGGGACUGCGUCUGAUACUGGAUGGCUUGAGAUUGGGAGAGGGAUGCGGAAUUCCAGGUGUAGCGGUGAAAUGCGUAGAUAUCUGGAGGAACACCGGUGGCGAAGGCGGCAUCCUGGACCAACACUGACGCUGAGGAGCGAAAGCCAGGGGAGCAACGGG
rnacentral:rRNA from 1 species